CGCCAUCCGGAGCCUUCCUUUCCUUUCCCGUCUCCUCCGAUCGAUCCUAUAAAGCCCGUCGUCCGUCGCCUCUUGCAAAAAUCUCUCUGCUCUGGUUAAGCUACUAUAUACCGUUCUCCUCCUUCUGGCUUGGGUUUCCAUGACCGAGCCGCGCGAGCCCGUGACCUCUUUUUCCUCGAGCCUCGCUCGCCGACUCCUGGCCGCAAUCUCUGUAUCUUGGCAUGCAUUCUGCGUUCCUGCUCGUGCUCGACCUCAAUCCUAUCCAACGCAGCACUGCAGCGAUCCCAGUUCCCAUCGCCGAAUCCGCGUCCCACUCAUCCUCAACCUCAACCACUCCGAAUUCAAUUCGGAGCCUUUCUCGAUUCGCUACCCUUAUUUGAUCAUCCCAUGACCACGAGACUCCUGUGAUUCCCCCCACGCAGACCUCGCUGGACAAUUGCCAGAGCCCCCUUGCUCAGCCCCAUCCAGGCCAGCCAUGAAGUUUACCAAGAAGUACGCGACGUACAUGAGGGGGAUGGAGGCGGAGCUCCCGGCCGUGGGGCUCAAGCGCCUCAAGAAGAUGCUCAAGAAAUGCCGCUCCGACUCCGACCACCGCUCGCACCUGCAGGAUGCCGCUGCCUCACCCGCCGCCGGACGGUGCCCCGGGCAUUGCUCUGUAUGUGAUGGGAGUUUCUUUCCAUCUCUUCUGAAUGAGAUGUCGGUCGUUGUCGGCUGCUUCAACGAAAAAGCCAAGAAGCUGCUGGAACUGCACUUGGCGACAGGCUUCAAGAAAUACACCAUGUGGUUCACCAACAAGGGUGACAAUAGCCAUGGGAGAUUAAUGCAGCAAGGCAAAGACUUGGUUACGUAUGCAAUUAUAAAUGCCGUGGCCAUGAGGAAGAUCUUAAAGAAGUAUGACAAGAUACAUUACUCAAAGCAAGGACAAGAAUUCAAAGCCCAAGCUCAGAUUUUGCACAUUGAGAUACUUCAAUCCCCAUGGCUCUGUGAGCUGAUGGCAUUCUAAAUGAACUUGAGAAGGAGCAAGAAGAAUAAGGCUGCAAUGGAGCUCUUUGGCGACUGUUCCCUCAUAUUCGAUGACGAGAGACCAACGCUCUCAUGCAACCUCUUUGACUCUAUGCGUGUCGACAUUAGCUUGACAUGUUCCAUUUGCUUGGACACAGUGUUUGAUCCAGUCUCUCUUUCCUGUGGUCACAUACUUUGCUACUUGUGCUGCUGUUCUACUGCAUCUGUGACCAUUGUUGAUGGGCUGAAGUCCGCAGAUCACAAAUCAAAAUGUCCCCUGUGUCGACAGCAAGGGGUCUUUCCUGAUGCUGUGCACCUCGAUGAACUCAACAUGCUACUGAGCCACAGUUGUCCAGAGUACUGGGAGAAGAGAAUGCAAUCAGAGCGAGUUGAGCGGGUUCGCCUAGCUAAGGAGCAUUGGGAGUCACAGUGCAGAGCAUUCUUGGGCAUCUAGAUAGUGAGCUUCUACCAGUGGAAACUGGAAAUUUGAUUCGAUUUGUUAAGAUUGUUUGUUGGUAGAUCCUGCUCUAUCACAACUCUUUUGAUAAUAAAGUUGGAUCUACCGUCUGUUGAUAGAAUUUACAUGUAAGAGGUUAGCUUGGCUGCAGAAAUAGAACAACUGUAGUGGCUAUUCAAGUGCAAUUGCAUAUGUGUUUAUAUGUAACACCCUUGAUUCACCUUUGUGAUUUUAUCCUAAA